rnacentral:lncRNA from 1 species
ACAAAGAUGUUCGUCUAUCAACGUUUCCAUGGAGACCACUGUAGUCUGGGUGAUAACAAGGGUCAAGUGUUCUUGCUGUGAGAGAAAGGCAGCAGAGCUGGGCAGUUUUGUAUGCUGUGGAAUCUUCUCGGGUUAGUUCUAUUUCCUUUCACUCUUUUCAUGAUAUAUAACACAAGUAUUUUAUGAUGUUGUAUGUUGAGAGGUAUAGAAGAUUUCUUGUGUAGAAGGGGGUAUAUUGCAAUAUAAAUUCAUUUUCAGAAACUUAAAAUGCAGAUGGGGAUAUAACUAAACACAAAGAGGGUGAAUAUAGCACAUUAGAUAUUAAUAACAAUUAGCUCAAUUUAAGUUGUUACAAUAAAUGAAGAGAUAAAUAGUGUGGGAAAAUUUUG